rnacentral:rRNA from 1 species
UACGUAGGGGGCGAGCGUUGUCCGGCUUCAUUGGGCGUAAAGAGCUCGUAGGCGGCUUGGCAAGUCGGAUGUGAAAACUCCAGGCUCAACCUGGAGCCGCCAUUCGAUACUGCCAUGGCUAGAGUCCGGUAGGGGAGUGUGGAAUUCCCGGUGUAGCGGUGAAAUGCGCAGAUAUCGGGAGGAACACCGAUGGCGAAGGCAGCACUCUGGGCCGGUACUGACGCUGAGGAGCGAAAGCGUGGGGAGCGAACAGG